rnacentral:lncRNA from 10 species
GAAGCUAGAAGUAGGUUAAAUUAUACAUCUCAGUCCUAUAGCACUUGUCAGCUCUGUACCCCAUGAAGUCCUAAAUUCUGACAUAUCUGUUGCUAUUGUUUGAAUGUGUCCUCCAAAUUUCAUGUGUUGGAAACUAAAUCCCCAAAUUCAUAUGUUUAUUGGAGGUGAAGCCUUUAGGAGGUAAUUAGGAUUAGAUAACGUCAUCACGGCAGAGUCCUAUUAUGGGACUGGUGGCUUUAUAACAAGAGGAAGAAAGACCUGAGAUAACAUGCACAUUUUUGCCCUCUCGCCAUGUGACGCCCUCUGCGAUGUUAUGACAUAGCAAGAAGGCCUUCACCAGAUGCCGACACCAUGCUGUUGGACUUCUCAGCUCCCAAAACCGAAGAAGAAAGUACUGUUCAAAUCAGGGACUUGACUCCCACAAGACUCCCACAAGAGCCCGGAGUCUUAAGUGGACAAUGAGCCGUUUAAAACCAUGCACAGGCCAGUCGCGGUGGCUUAGCCCGUAAUCCCAGCACUCUGGGAGGCCAAGGAGGGCAGGUCACUUGAGGUCAGAAGUUCGAGACCAGCCUGGCCAGCAUGGUGAAACCCCAUUUCUAGUAAAAAUACAAAAAUUAGCCGGAUGUAGUGGUACGCAUUUGUAAUCCCAGCUACUUGG